rnacentral:rRNA from 1 species
GCGCGGCGAUAGCACGUUGAAUGCAUUAGUUCCCAAUGGAUCACUAAAGUUAAGCAACGCUGAGCGUGAUUGGUAUCCAAAUGAGUCACUUUCUGGGCAAUCGUGGGCAACUGGCU